AGAGCGAACGCUGGCGGCAGGCUUAACACAUGCAAGUCGAGCGCCCCGCAAGGGGAGCGGCAGACGGGAGAGUAACACGUGGGAACGUACCUUUCGGUUCGGAACAACCCAGGGAAACUUGGGCUAAUACCGGAUACGUCCGUAAGGAGAAAGAUUUAUCGCUGAAGGAUCGGCCCGCGUCUGAUUAGCUAGUUGGUGAGGUAACGGCUCACCAAGGCGACGAUCAGUAGCUGGUCUGAGAGGAUGAUCAGCCUCACUGGGACUGAGACACGGCCCAGACUCCUACGGGAGGCAGCAGUGGGGAAUAUUGGACAAUGGGCGCAAGCCUGAUCCAGCCAUGCCGCGUGGGUGAUGAAGGCCCUAGGGUUGUAAACCUCUUUCACCAUCGGCGAAGCCCAUAGCUUUUGUUGUGGGUGACGGUAGGUGGAGAGAAGCACCGGCCAACUACGUGCCAGCAGCCGC
rnacentral:rRNA from 1 species